rnacentral:rRNA from 1 species
AGGGGUAACAGUGGGAGCUUGCUCCCGCUGACGACCGGCGAUGGGAGCGGAACGCGUAUGGAACCUACCUCAAUCAGGGGGAAGCCCAGGGAAACUUGGAUUAAUACCCCAUAGUAUUGUUUUAUUGCAUGAUAGAACAAUUAAAACUUCGGUGGAUUGAGAUGGCCAUGCGUAUCAUUAGCUAGUUGGUAAGGUAACGGCUUACCAAGGCAACGAUGAUUAGGGGCCCUGAGAGGGGGAUCCCCCACACUGGUACUGAGACACGGACCAGACUCCUACGGGAGGCAGCAGUGAGGAAUAUUGGACAAUGGUCGCAAGACUGAUCCAGCCAUGCCGCGUGCAGGAUGACUGCCCUAUGGGUUGUAAACUGCUUUUGUACGAGAAGAACACCCUCUUCGUGAAGAGGACUGACGGUAUCGUACGAAUAAGGACCGGCUAACUCCGUGCCAGCAGCCGCGGUAAUACGGAGGGUCCGAGCGUUAUCCGGAAUCAUUGGGUUUAAAGGGUCCGUAGGCGGGCUAUUAAGUCAGAGGUGAAAUUGUGCAGCUCAACUGUAGAACUGCCUUUGAUACUGAUAGUCUUGAGUUAUGGUGAGGUAGCCGGAACAUGUGGUGUAGCGGUGAAAUGCAUAGAUAUCACAUAGAACGCCGAUUGCGAAGGCAGGUUACCAACCAUAUACUGACGCUGAUGGACGAAAGCGUGGGGAGCGAACGGGAUUAGAUACCCCGGUAGUCCACGCCGUAAACGAUGGAUACUAGCUGUUGGGUUUUCGGACUCAGCGGCCAAGCGAAAGUGAUAAGUAUCCCACCUGGGGAGUACGUUCGCAAGAAUGAAACUCAAAGGAAUUGACGGGGGCCCGCACAAGCGGUGGAGCAUGUGGUUUAAUUCGAUGAUACGCGAGGAACCUUACCAGGGCUUAAA